UACGUAGGGUGCAAGCGUUAAUCGGAAUUACUGGGCGUAAAGCGUGCGCAGGCGGUUUUGUAAGUCUGUCGUGAAAUCCCCGGGCUCAACCUGGGAAUGGCGAUGGAGACUGCAAGGCUAGAGUUUGGCAGAGGGGGGUAGAAUUCCACGUGUAGCAGUGAAAUGCGUAGAGAUGUGGAGGAACACCGAUGGCGGAAGGCAGCCCCCUGGGUCAAAACUGACGGCUCAUGCACGAAAGCGUGGGGAGCAACAGG
rnacentral:rRNA from 1 species